CUAACAUGAUAUAUGUCUCAGCAAGAUCAUAUCACCUAGUAAUGCAGAUACUUUGGGUCUGAGUGA